rnacentral:rRNA from 1 species
UACGGAGGGUGCGAGCGUUGUUCGGAAUCACUGGGCGUAAAGCGCGUGUAGGCGGCCCAUUAAGUCUGAUGUGAAAGCCCGGGGCUCACCCCCGGAAGUGCAUUGGAAACUGAUGGGCUCGAGUCCCGGAGAGGAGGGUGGAAUUCCUGGUGUAGCGGUGAAAUGCGUAGAUAUCAGGAGGAACACCGGUGGCGAAGGCGGCCCUCUGGACGGUGACUGACGCUGAGACACGAAAGCGUGGGGAGCAAACAGG